GUUGAGCCCAUGUAAAUUGAAUAAUCAGCCCUUGUUUAGCCAAAAAAUCCAGCAUGUGUCCAAAGAAAAAAAAUUUGUGGUAGCCUAAUUCUAACAUAAUAAGUAAAUGGCCCAACUCUAAUUAUUUGGCCCAAACAAACCACCAGGUCCACCAUUCAUUUAAACCUAAAAUUAAUCCAAUGCAUUUAAUUCUUCCCUCACAUACCAGGUCCACCAUUCAAACGAGUAAAGGGCAAAAGGCGAUUCCUCUGUCCGACUAUCUCCAUUUCUUUUCAAUCCAUAAUUUAUAUAAAAUUAAGGGACCCAUUACCCAAAUCAAAGAUUUCAUCUCUUAAAAGUGUAUGUUAGCGGGACAAUCUGACAAGACAACAUCAGUAGGAAAAGUUUAUCCAAGACCCACAUCUCUAUACUUCAAUUUCAUUUCAAUUUUAAUAGCAUUCCAUUCACGAUUUCAAUCGCCUACAACUCAAUAAUGAGAAAAUAUCAAAUAUGUUGCGCCAAUUCCUUUGUCAAAAGCUGUUCUCCUAGCCUCCAGAAAUGAGUGUACCUCAUAAUUUCAUAUUUGAAUACAUGCCCCAGUUUAUUUUUACCACUUACUGCAUUUCUGUGAUUGUCAAAGGUUCAUGUGUCAAAAGUAUGGUAAGAAUUUAAAAUAAAAAGGGUGAAAUAAAUAAAUUAUCAAUAGUAAAAAGCUUUAAACGAUUCCAUAACAAUGAUUCAAUUUUCACAUUCCAAAUAAACAAUAGAGAGUGUUGGGUUUUUAAUACCCAAUAAAUCCCGAGUUAUGAUGUUAACGUGGGUCAAUAUUAUUUCAUAGGCAUAGGCCGAUAAAUGAAAUAAGUUCAACAACCAAGUCCAUAAACUACACCCAGCUCAAUUGUAUUCCUUAUGGAUGGCUUGAAUCUUGGCUCGUUUGCCCCUUUAAUGGCCCAACUUAAAGCCUAAUCUUAGAUUAUAUAUAACCCUAGCCACAUUCUAAUGAUGAGUGUGUGAUUUUGAGAGAAGAAAAAGUGAAUCCCGGCUGUCCCCUUUGUGUGAGAAAAAAGGUGUCCAAAAGUGUCCAGAACGCUUGUAUAACGUGUGCAAUUGGUGGUUCUUUCAUAGUUUACCCUUGUGAUGUCUUCUCUUAGCCUUUGUGGUGAUAAAUCAUCAUCAUUUCUUGUCCUACGUGGGUAAGAUUAAAUAGCAACCAAGGUGAAUCAAUUGAUUGUGGUUUGAAGCCGAUUGGACUGGUUAUUGGUUGAGAAAAGUGCGUUGGACUAAGCCCGAAAAUCACCGAUUUGAAGAUCUUUCAAGAGAGCUUCCACAACAAUUUGGUGUCAGAGCUUCAAGGUGGUGAUUUUGGCUCUUGAAACAUACAAAAAACGUCCAGAAAUUGCAGAAAAAUCAGAUCGAAGAAGCUGUCCAAAAACUGUCAAAAUCAGUCUCCGUUUUUCGCAUUUUCUGAUCAAUCCAGAAGGAGUUUGGGGAAACGGAGACCACUGACAUGACGUGCAAGAGGAGGCGAACCUUGUAGGUCGGCACGUGUCGGUCGACGAUGACGC
rnacentral:lncRNA from 1 species